rfam:Salmo salar isolate Sally breed double haploid chromosome ssa05, whole genome shotgun sequence.
UGCACUCACUACUGUAAGUCGCUCUGGAUAAGAACAUCUGCUAAAUGACUCAAU